UGAGUUGUGAGUGAGGAGACCAACCGUGACCGGUCAUCAAGACUGUCGUGUGUAGUUUCUGGAGUGGUAUCUGACGAGUAGGUUAGUGCAUCCUGAACUAUCGGAUGACAUAACAACUCCAAAGUAACGAAUCCUUCCAGGUCGAAUUGAUCAUCAACAGUAUCUGGGCUCGCCUGUGCCUAAACUCCCCCAGACAAAUACAUUUCUUCUUCUCGAAAAACCACCCAUAGUGAUGUAGAGCUUCUGAGCAGGUGGAUGAUAGCAAC
rnacentral:lncRNA from 1 species